UGGUGUUUGUCGUGUUUACUGUGCAGGAUCAGGACGUCUUUCGUGAUUGGGACGUGGAGAAAGAUCCUGACAUUAACAUUGGCGCUAGGAGGGGUGAGUUCUAGUGUCCUGAGUAUUUUUCAAUUACAGAGUGUGUUUUAUUCUAUUCAGUUUUCAUGGGGAAGAGUAGAACACCUACACCCGAAGGACAGCCGAUGGCUGUUAGUGAAU
rnacentral:lncRNA from 1 species